ACCUUUUUGUAGUUCAUAAGCAUGAUGAUUGGGUUUUCACGCACAUGAGUGAGAUGUGCCUCCCUUAGUCCUUGUUACGAGGUCAGCCCAUUACCCAUCUGAUA
rnacentral:snoRNA from 1 species